rnacentral:rRNA from 1 species
GACGAACGCUGGCGGCGUGCUUAACACAUGCAAGUCGAACGAAGAGCGAUGGAAGCUUGCUUCUAUCAAUCUUAGUGGCGAACGGGUGAGUAACGCGUAAUCAACCUGCCCUUCAGAGGGGGACAACAGUUGGAAACGACUGCUAAUACCGCAUACGAUCUGACCUCGGCAUCGAGGAAAGAUGAAAGGUGGCCUCUAUGUAUAAGCUAUCACUGAAGGAGGGGAUUGCGUCUGAUUAGCUAGUUGGAGGGGUAACGGCCCACCAAGGCGAUGAUCAGUAGCCGGUCUGAGAGGAUGAACGGCCACAUUGGGACUGAGACACGGCCCAGACUCCUACGGGAGGCAGCAGUGGGGAAUCUUCCGCAAUGGACGAAAGUCUGACGGAGCAACGCCGCGUGAGUGAUGACGGCCUUCGGGUUGUAAAGCUCUGUUAAUCGGGACGAAAGGCCUUCUUGCGAAUAGUGAGAAGGAUUGACGGUACCGGAAUAGAAAGCCACGGCUAACUACGUG